rnacentral:rRNA from 1 species
CACGUAGGGGGCGAGCGUUGUCCGGAUUUACUGGGCGUAAAGGGUGAGUAGGCGGUUAUAUAUGUCAGGUGUAAAAGGCUAUGGCUUAACCAUGGUUAGCACUUGAAACUGUAUGACUUGAGUGCAGGAGAGGUAAGUGGAAUUCCUAGUGUAGCGGUGAAAUGCGUAGAUAUUAGGAGGAACACCAGUGGCGAAGGCGACUUACUGGACUGUAACUGACGCUGAGUCACGAAAGCGUGGGUAGCAAACAGGAUUAGAUACCCCCGUAGUCCU